rnacentral:rRNA from 1 species
CUGCGGAGGAUCAUUAUCGAAAUCGUAGGCGAAGGGUUGUCGCUGGCCUCUCGGGGCAUGUGCACGCCCGAGCCCUUGAAUUCCAAACACACCUGUGAACCCACCGUAGGCCUUCGGGCCUAUGUCUUAUCAUAUAAUCUUGAAUGUCUAAUAGAAUGUAAACCCAUUUCCGUCGCCUUGAAAACGUGACGGAAGAAAACUUAUACAACUUUCAACAACGGAUCUCUUGGCUCUCGCAUCGAUGAAGAACGCAGCGAAAUGCGAUAAGUAAUGUGAAUUGCAGAUUUUCAGUGAAUCAUCGAAUCUUUGAACGCACCUUGCGCCCCUUGGUAUUCCGAGGGGCAUGCCUGUUUGAGUGUCAUUAAAUCCUCAACCCCUCCGAUUCGUUUCGGGCGGGGAUUGGACUUGGAGCGUGCUGGCGAAGGUCGGCUCCUCUUUAAAUGCAUCAGCGGAGAAAAUGCCUUUUGCGCCUCUGGCCGUUCAGCGUGAUAAUGACGUUGCGCUGCGGUCGAGCUCAAGGUCCGCUUCUAAAGGUCCUCGGACGAUAUCAAUAUGUUUUGACCUCAAAUCAGGUAGGACUACCCGCUGAACUUAAGCAUAUCAAUAAGCGGAGGAAAAGAAACUAACAAGGAUUCCCCUAGUAACUGCGAGUGAAGCGGGAAAAGCUCAAAUUUAAAAUCUGGCGGUCUCCGGCCGUCCGAGUUGUAAUCUGGAGAAGCGUUUUCCGCGUCGGACCGUGUACAAGUCUUCUGGAACGGAGCGUCGUAGAGGGUGAGAAUCCCGUCUCUGACACGGACUGCCGAUGCUUUUGUGAUACGCUCUCGAAGAGUCGAGUUGUUUGGGAAUGCAGCUCAAAACGGGUGGUAAAUUCCAUCUAAAGCUAAAUAUUGGCGAGAGACCGAUAGCGAACAAGUACCGUGAGGGAAAGAUGAAAAGCAC